rnacentral:lncRNA from 1 species
UCUAAAUAAGUGGAGGGAUUUAAUUAUUUACACACACAAAUGCAUAAAAAAUUGGAUUCUCUCUCUCUUUUAUCACUUCACAACAACCCCUUUACCACAUCCAAAUUUUUAGUUCAACCAAGCAUAUAUCCCUAUAGUUUCCAUUGUCCUUCAAUGGCUACUACUGACCGAUGAAUUUCGAUGGAUAUCAACAACACCUUCGUGACCUCAUCUCCCCGUGCCACUGUUGGCUAACCAAAGAUGAUGGCCAAUGAGUUCUAUCUUGAAACAACCAACGUCACCCUCCCCCCUUUUUCCACUAUAUUACCGCCACUGGACUUGACCAUCGGAUGGAUUUCAGAGCUUCACCACUGCAUCAUCCCUCUUUCUCUCUCCCCUUUGGUUAAAAAAUGGUGGCCUACACCGUGAACAACCAAAUUUGGCUAGUUUUGUGGGUAUCCAACAUAGCUCUGGCAUCUCGCCAUUGAAGCAAUACCGCUGCUUCAUCUUAUUCUCAUUUAUUAUAAUAUUGGGGAUCCAUGGAGUUUUACCAGCGAUACUCCCUUGAAAACACCGGAUCUAUAAGAAAAUAAUACUUUUUUUCUCUUUGUUUGCUACUCUGAAUGUUGUUUGUUAUUGGAUGGAAUAGUGUAUUAGGAGAUGUUAUUGUUUACUUUGUAAUUAUGUUUAGGUUGAUGUUUUAUUUCUUGAUUUUGGCCGAGAUUUGGUCAGAAAAUAUUUUCUAAAGGCUAUCUCUUUGUUUUCUUGCUUCUGUUAUGAAAAUUUUUCAUGUUUUGUUUA